CGGGGAGGACGCUCACCACUUUGUGGUUCAUGACUGGGGUGAAGUCGUAACAAGGUAGCCCUAGGGGAACCUGGGGCUGGAUCACCUCCUUAUACGAAGAUA
rnacentral:rRNA from 1 species